ACAUCAAGAAAUAAAUAAAUUUAAAUGUGUGUAAUACGUCAAAUGUUUGCUUAAUAUCAUUUAAUAAUGAUUUGUUCAAUAUACAGAACCAAAGAUACACAUAACAAACACUUGUAGGUCACAUAAGGUUUAGCACAUUACAGAGUGUGGAAAUAAAAGUGUAAGACAAGAGAUAUAAUACAAUACUGUUGACCAAAACUUACUACAAAAUAUACCUUAAACUUAAAUCAUAACAUCGACAUGUUAUUAAAGACAUUCCAAAAUAACCAAAGUGUGUUGUUAACAAAAACGUUCACCCUGUUCCAUUCUGUAUCACCUACAACAAAGGUAAGGUAGGUUUAUAGUGUCUUAUGGUGUACAAGAUAGACACUAAUUACUACAGGUAAUCACUGCAGUUAUUGAGAAUAGGACCACUGUUAUAGUGUAUUAGGACAGUAAUAGAUAAGGUACAAAACAGUCUUAAGAGUGUAACACAUAAAGUACAAAACAAUCUCAAGACAGUAAUGCUUUCGACAGUGAUUACUAAAAGUAAUUUAAUUAUCUUUCUGGAUACUUUCAGUAAUACAAUGUUUAUUAACAAACAUAAAAAAUAUCAAAUAAGUAUAUCACACUUGACCAACAACUAGGCAGAAAAGUGCAGUCGAGGAGGUCAAACGUCGAUAAAUUAUUUUGUGAGGUAAUCAAAAUUACGAUCAUUCAUGAAAUGGAUUCGUGGCGUAUGUAUAAAAUAAUUAUUGGUAAAAAUCAGUUACAUUAACAUAUAGAAAAGCUAAUGCGUUUUGGUAACACUACAUUCCAAAAAUGACUUUUAUGUUACGUUGCCUAGUAACAAAAAUAUAACUUAAUAUCGUUGCUAGAGAACGAAUUAACGAAAGGCCUCUCGUGAAUACGUCGUUGGAGAAAGAACAAAAGAAAGGCCCCUAUUUUAUAUUUUAUUUUGUAUAUUGUUGUUAGUCUAUGUAUUGAAAAUAUGAAAUGAAAUGUAUUGACAACAAAACUGGAAAAA